rnacentral:lncRNA from 1 species
CUGCAUAUUAAAGUAAACUGAGAAAUAAGAUUUGACAAAAUACCACCGUUACAUGGACAUCAUUUAUCAUCCUUACUAAGACUAUGCUCUCCCACUGUCAAAAUAAAGGGGUUGAUCUCCAUUACUCUUGAUAAAUAUUUUGCUAACAACAUUGUUAGUCACUUUAUUCCACACUUUUCAACAUGGCAUAUAUAUUUUGAAAGAUUUAGCAUCAAUAAAUGGAACUUGAUGCUCUGUGUGUAUACCAGUGCCAUGUUCUGUGUCAUUCUUUUUUCUCACCAGUCUAGAAAAUUGAAUUUAUGAUGGCAUGUAGAACUAACUAGUUGAGAGAAGUCAUGCCUCAACAGAAUGGAAUAUUCUCUUUGGAAAAACUAAACUACUCUUUCGGGCAUAACCUUCUAUUUUUAGUGUUACCACCGUUACAUGGACAUCAUGUCUCAGUAACAGAGGUAUACUUAGAAGCAAUGUUAAGUUAAUGUCCAUUAAUGGCCAUUACACACCAAAUUCCACUUCAUGCCUUAGAAUAUUUGCACAAGAUCAAUUGAUUACACUAAAGAAAAACAUUUUGCAUGUCAAAUUCUUUGCAAAUAAAAGCAAAUUAAAUUAGAGUUUAAACAAGGAAAAAUGUACAAAAUUAUUGACAAAUUAUAUUUAAAAUCAUACUACGAUAAUCCUCAAGUUUCCACUUCCGUCUACCUCUGGAAACAUUUACGUUUCUGCCUAAAGGGAAAAAACAAAACAGUGCUAUCUUAUGAUCUCCAAUUCUUUUUACUUUAAAAUAACUCCUUCAAGAUAUUACUUUCAAAUGUACAUACCACCGUUACAUGGACAUCAUGUCUCAGUAACAGAGGUAUACUUUGAAGCAUUGCUAAGUUAAGGUCCGUUAAUGGCCAUUAAACACCAAAUUCCACUUCAUGCCUUAGAAUAUUUGCACAAGAUCAAUUGAUUAUACUAAAAAACAUUUUCCAUGUCAAAUUCUUUGCAAAUAAAAGCAAUUUAAAUUAGAGUUUAAACAAGGAAAAAUGUACAAAAUUAUUGAUAAAUUUAUAUUUAAAAUAAUACUAAGGUAAUCCUCAAGGUUCCACUUCCGUCUAUCUCUGGAAACAAAUGUUUCUGUCUAAAGGGUAAAAAAACAAAAGAGUGCUAGCUUAUGAUCUCCAAAUCUUUAUUACUUUAAAAUAUCUCCUUCACGAUAUUACUUUCAAAUGUACAUACCUCCGUUACAUGGACAUCAUGUCCUUGUAAUGAUCAUAUUGAAUAGUAUUACAUGUACUUGCCAUUCUUUUAGUAUCAACACACUAAUGCGAGUUAACUCAUCUUACUCAAGUGUAGAAAUACAACAUCUACAGGCAAGCUUCUAAAAUGCAUCAAUGAACAGGUUACAAGUUUAUGAACUUCAAGAUGAUCGGUGACCCAAUGACAACUGUGUGGAAGAGGACUCUGUCAAUGUCACAAAAUAGAUAGAGGUAGAAUUGUGCCUCGCCAUCAGGCCAGGAGUACAGGUCACCAGAUUGACACUUCAUGUACUGAAGAUAUAUAUUUUUACCUUCAACAGAG